AUUGAACGCUGGCGGCAUGCCUAACACAUGCAAGUCGAGCGGAGCGGCGGACGGAUGGGUAAUGCCUAGGAAUCUGCCUGGUCGUGGUUUAUAACGUACGGAAACGAGCGCUAAUCCCGCAUCCUAUCCGAUGAGCCUAAGGCGGAUUAGCUAGGUGGUGGGGUAAAGGCCUACCAAGGCGACGAUCCCUCACGGGUCUGAGAGGAUGAUCAGUCACACGGGAACGGAGACACGGUCAAGACUCCUACGGGAGGCAGCAGUGGGGAAUAUUGGACAAUGGGCGAAAGCCUGAUCAAGCCAUGCCGCGGGUGUGAAGAAGGUCUUCGGAUUGUAAAGCUCUUUAAGUUGGGAGGCGGUACCAACAGAAUAAGCACCGGCUAACUUCGUGCCAGCAGCCGCGGUAAUAC
rnacentral:rRNA from 1 species